CUGCCAUGGAGCGUUAACAAGAAUCUGAGGUCCAUAUUAGAAAAGCUGCUAAAAUCAUAAAACUUUGCAGAAUUGUAAUAAAUUAGCAAUAUAAAUUACAGGUCUGUGAUAGUGUAUAAAUUUGUAGUGAAAAAAAAAAAACGUGGACCAAGGUGGGAUUGAACCCACGACCUUUGAGCUGCAGAGCCGUGUCAUUACUGAUUGCGCCACCUGGAAAGGGGGCGGCGGUCUGAAAGACAGAUACUUGGGCAGUCAGAAAAUAGAUCGCGGUGAGAGGCGAAAAACGCCGUUUUUUGGAGUUACAAAACGUCGUGUAACUCAAAAACUAGGAGGGCUAGCAGCAUAAUUCUUGUACUGGGUGAAUCCGUGGACUUUGGUGUAUUUUGACUGCGAUUUUCAUAGCUCGUUCUACCUCCGUCGCGGAGAUAUGACGAGAGAAGAAACGGCUUCAUUUCCAGAGUUUGGAGACUGAGAGAAGGACAGAUUUCCACCCCUCAAACAAACGUAAUUCAUUGCUCAACGGUAAGAUAAUUGUAAAAACUGCUUCCACUGUGAGUGUCAGCAGUGUCUGAAGAUAUAUUGGCACGAGCCUCAUGUCCUAACUUUGCUUUGUUAAAGAGAUAUGGCAAUUUGAAAAUGCCUCCCGUUACAGAAUUUCAG
ensembl:lncRNA